UACCCUUGACAUGUCAGGAAGAUUCCAGAGAUGGGAUUGUGCCCGAAAGGGAACCUGAACAC
rnacentral:rRNA from 1 species